UACAGAGGUCCCAAGCGUUGUUCGGAUUCACUGGGCGUAAAGGGUGCGUAGGUGGCCAGGUAAGUUCGGUGUGAAAGCUCGGAGCUCAACUCCGAAAUGUCAUUGAAUACUAUCUGGCUUUAUUGAGGGUCGGAGGGGAGACUGGAAUUCUCGGUGUAGCAGUGAAAUGCGUAGAUAUCGAGAGGAACACCAGUGGCGAAGGCGAGUCUCUGGACGACACCUGACACUGAGGCACGAAAGCUAGGGGAGCAAACAGG
rnacentral:rRNA from 1 species